AUGCCCUACCGUCAGCUCCACCCUCUCUCCGAUCUCGAGAAGCUCCCCUCCCCAAGGCUCCUCUCCACCCAUUUUCCGGUCACGCUGCUGCCUCCGUGCGUGGUGACCCUUGGUUGCCGAGUUGUGUACUUAUGUCGCAGUCCCAAGGAUGUGCUCGUGUCUUUAUGGCACUUCAUCUACAAGGUAAACAAGAACUACUCCAUAGAUAAAGCAUUUGAGUUGUUUUCCAAGGGAGAAUCCUCGUAUGGGCCUAUAUGGGAACACAAUCUUGGGUUCUGGAAGGAAAGCAUAUCAAACAGCGAUAGAGUUCUCUUCUUGAAGUAUGAUGAGAUGAUGGCCCAGCUGGUCAAGCAUGUCAAGAUGCUCGCCGAGUUCCUCCGUGUUCCCUUCACGGAGGAGGAGGUGAGAUGUGGAGUUGUGGAGGAGAUCGUGCACUUGUGUAGCUUCGAUAAGCUCAAAAGCAUGCCGGUCAACUCAUCCGGUGUAUCUGAUAGGAUUGGCGGGGAGCCAAUGGAGAAUUCUUCCUUCUUUAGGACUGCCAAGGUUGGUGACUGGGCAAAUUACUUGACUGAAGAGAUGGCAAAGAAGUUGGAUGGCAUUGUUGAGGAGAAGUUGAGCGGGUCAGAUCUUACAUUUUGA
rnacentral:rRNA from 1 species